AUGUCUGCCAAGCUAGAGUCUGCUAACAUCAUGUCUGCUACCCCAGGGUUUGCUCACGUCAUGCCUGCAAAACCAGUGCUUGUUCAUGUCAAGUCUGAUACAGCAUGUCCUCUUCAUGUCACGUCUGCCAAGCCAGAGCCUGCUCACAUCAUGCCGGUCACUCAGGAGAUUCUUAACAACAUGGCCACCAUUCAAGAGCUCCAUCGCAAGAUGGCCGCCACACAAGAGUCUCUUUGGAAAAUGGCCGCUGUUCUAGAGUCUCAUCACAUCUCAACUGAUCGUCCAGAGUCUCGUCACGACACGGCCGCCAUUCCAGAGUCUCGUCACGACACGGCCGCCAUUUCUAAAUCUGCUUACGUCAUGCCUGUCAAGCCAGAUUCUUCACACAAGAUGGCCACCACGCCUGAGUCUCGCCAUGUCAUGGCUGUUACAGAGAGUGUUCCCAUGACCUCAGUGCUUCCAGUAAUGGCGGUCGCCAUUUUGAGCAUGUGGGCUGCACACUGCACUCCAGAGACCUCUCCUGUCCAUGAGUCUGCUCCUGAGACCUCUCCUGACCGCAAAUCCACUCCAGUACCUCCAGAGGAGGCGGCGUCUACUGUAGAACCUCCAGAGGAGGCCAAGGAGGCCGUCCAUUUACUCUCUGACUGUCUUGUCAUGGCCACGGAGGCCGUUCAUGUACUCACUGUCUGCCCUGCCACGGCCAUGGAGGCCACUCAUGAACUCACGGUCUGUCCUGUCACGGCCACGGAGGCCGUUCAUGAAAUUGCUGUCUGUCCUGUCACGACCAAGUGGUCUGUCCAUGUCUCUGCUCCACCAUGGCUUCCUGCUCUGCGGGCACCUCCUAACCACCCCACUUCACCAUGGCUCCCCGCUAGGCCUGCUCCACCAUGGCUCCAUACUGCUCUGGAUCUGCUCCACGGCCCAGGUCCCCCUCUGUUCCAUUGUCUGUCUCUGCUCCACAGUCUGAACCUGCCUCUGAUUCACGAGCCUGCCCCUCCAUCCCUCCCAUAG
ensembl:lncRNA